rnacentral:rRNA from 1 species
GCGAAGUGGGUGGUCGUGGCGGCGGUGGUAAGUGGGGUGCGUGAGUUGUACGGAAGUAUUGGGCGUAAAGGGGUCGUAGGCGGUCGGUCACGACGGGAGUGAAAACUCGGGGCUCAACCCCAAGCUUGCUCUCGAUACGGGCGGACUAGAGGUAGGUAGGGGAGAACGGAAUUCCUGGUGUAGCGGUGGAAUGCGCAGAUAUCAGGAGGAACACCGGUGGCGAAGGCGGUUCUCUGGGCCUUACCUGACGCUGAGGAGCGAAAGCGUGGGGAGCGAACAGGAUUAGAUACCCUUGUAGUC